AUGUAAGCGGUUACAUGUUAGGCUAAAGGCAUUACUAUUUUUCAUAAUUUGUAUACAGAUGCAUGCAGUAACUUGAGUUCAGUGUCACAUUGCUGCGUCUAAAAAGCCCAAAGCUGAUAAGACUGGCGAUUGAUCCUAAAGCUGAUUUGACAGAAGAUUGCAUCUUCACAAUAUUAAAGGUUCAAUAUACAGUCAGCGUCUCAUAAGAAUAAAUCCCAAGAUCCAAGACUUGCUUAAAAGCUUAAUUAAGAGACCAUUCUGUGCCACAAAGAAAUUGUUCAGGAAAGGGAGAAAUGGUGGAUUUGCAUUUUGGGUACAGUUCAAAGAGAGUUCAAGAUGGUCAAGCUCAUGGAAGAUCAGAGGGAGGACAACUGAAGAAAACUGAAAGAUACAGAAGGAAAAAGAACAAGAAAAUAUAUGAAAUAAUUAUGAAAUUAGGAGGAUGUACACAAUCUUGUCUGCAUUUGACCUGUAAAGA